rnacentral:rRNA from 1 species
AGACUUUUAUAAUUGUAAAUCAAAUAGGUGGAUUAUACAUGAUUGCCAUUCUAUUAUAGUGAAAUAUUAAACAAACGUAUAUCCAACGUCACGUCUAAAUAACAAAACAUUGUAUCUUAAACGAGGAUUAGAUACCCUCUUAUUUAAUGCUAUUUAACUCUACAGAGCACUAAAGUUUUUAGAACUAAAACUUAAGUAUCAUGGCGGUAAUUUUAAUUUUCAGGGGAACUUACCUCAUAAUCGAUAACCACCACGGUAACACAACUUUUAAAAAAUCUUGUAUGCCGUCGUCGUCAGAUAAGAUACAAUAUUUUAUCCAAAAGAUAUCAAAAAGACAGACCAUGGUGCAGACAAUUUAAAAGCGACGGCGAGUUACAAUUCUCACAGCGAAUAAACAUAAGUAUAAAUAAACUACUCUAUUAAAAGCGGACUUGACAGUAAGUGUCACUAUUUAUAUUAACUGAACACUCUAAAAUUGUGCACAA